ensembl:lncRNA
GUAGUUUUAUAGCAGUUGUAGAUUUGUAGCCUAAUGGUUGUAAUGGUAAUGGUGUAAUUAGUUUUUGAUACGUUCCAUAGCAUGGUCUCGGUGUCCAAAUUCUGUCUCUGGUUUGUGUCACGAUGUACUGGACCAGAACUGUUUUCUGUUCUUGGAAUGUGUUGUCUUGAGCAUUCCUAAUAACCCCUCCUUUCGCCCUCGCUCUCUCUGGGUUCUUCUUCUCCUUUGCCUCUGGUAGAAUAGACGUCUUUAGUUCUUAUAUCACUCAAACCUACAUAAUAGAUGUUCUGAUUUUAUCUGUGAACCGUUCCAUUCUUUAUCAAUAUUUCCGGUGUAUAUAUAUAUACCAUGUUUCCUGAAUAUUAAAACCAAGGAGCUUUCACUGACCGAUGGUAUCGGCGGGACUUCUUCCUGCGCCCAGACGAGAGGGAAAUCAGCCAGAGCAGGGUUCAAAUUGUGGUUCUGACUCGUAUCGGACAAGAACUUAACAGUUUUAUAAUAAUUGUUGUGAUUGUAGUGUUAUAAUAGUUGUAGAGUGUAAAUGUUGUAGCGCUUUAACAGGGGUAGAAUGUAACGGUUGUAGUGUGGAUGUAGUGCUGUAAUGGGGUAGAAUAUACCGGUUGUAGUGUGUAUGUAGUGCUGUAACAGGGGUAGAAUGUACCGGUUGUAGUGUGUAUGUAGUGCUGUAACAGGUGUAGAAUGUAACGGUUGUAGUGUGUAUGUAGUGCUGUAACAGGUGUAGAAUGUAAUGGUUGUAGUGUGUAUGUAGUGCUGUAACAGGGGUAGAAUGUAAUGGUUGUAGUGUGUAUGUAGUGCUGUAACAGGGGUAGAAUGUAACGGUUGUAGUG